ACCGAGUCUACGAUCUAUAGCUGGUUUUAGAGGAUGAUCAGCAACACUGGGACUGAGACACGGCCCAGACUCCUACGGGAGGCAGCAGUGGGGAAUCUUAGACAAUGGGCGCAAGCCUGAUCUAGCCAUGCCGCGUGUGUGAUGAAGGUCUUAGGAUCGUAAAGCACUUUCGCCAGGGAUGAUAAUGACAGUACCUGGUA
rnacentral:rRNA from 1 species